GGGUUGUGAGGUUAAGCGACUAAGCGUACACGGUGGAUGCCCUGGCAGUCAGAGGCGAUGAAGGACGUGCUAAUCUGCGAAAAGCGCCGGCGAGGUGAUAUGAACCUUUGACCCGGCGAUGUCCGAAUGGGGAAACCCAGUGUGAUUCGUCACACUAUCGUUAACUGAAUACAUAGGUUAACGAGGCGAACCGGGGGAACUGAAACAUCUAAGUACCCCGAGGAAAAGAAAUCAACCGAGAUUCCCCCAGUAGCGGCGAGCGAACGGGGAGCAGCCCAGAGUCUGAAUCAGCUUGUGUGUUAGUGGAACGGUCUGGAAAGUCCGACGGUACAGGGUGAUAGUCCCGUACACGAAAACACACAGGUUGUGAACUCGAAGAGUAGGGCGGGACACGUGGUAUCCUGUCUGAAUAUGGGGGGACCAUCCUCCAAGGCUAAAUACUCCUGACUGACCGAUAGUGAACCAGUACCGUGAGGGAAAGGCGAAAAGAACCCCGGCGAGGGGAGUGAAAAAGAACCUGAAACCGUGUACGUACAAGCAGUGGGAGCACCUUCGGGUGUGACUGCGUACCUUUUGUAUAAUGGGUCAGCGACUUAUAUUCUGUAGCAAGGUUAACCGUAUAGGGGAGCCGGAGGGAAACCGAGUCUUAACUGGGCGUUAAGUUGCAGGGUAUAGACCCGAAACCCGGUGAUCUAGCCAUGGGCAGGUUGAAGGUUGGGUAACACUAACUGGAGGACCGAACCGACUAAUGUUGAAAAAUUAGCGGAUGACUUGUGGCUGGGGGUGAAAGGCCAAUCAAACCGGGAGAUAGCUGGUUCUCCCGAAAGCUAUUUAGGUAGCGCCUCGUGAACUCAUCUUCGGGGGUAGAGCACUGUUUCGGCUAGGGGGCCAUCCCGGCUUACCAACCCGAUGCAAACUACGAAUACCGAAGAAUGUUAUCACGGGAGACACACGGCGGGUGCUAACGUCCGUCGUGAAGAGGGAAACAACCCAGACCGCCAGCUAAGGUCCCAAAGUCAUGGUUAAGUGGGAAACGAUGUGGGAAGGCACAGACAGCCAGGAUGUUGGCUUAGAAGCAGCCAUCAUUUAAAGAAAGCGUAAUAGCUCACUGGUCGAGUCGGCCUGCGCGGAAGAUGUAACGGGGCUAAACCAUGCACCGAAGCUGCGGCAGCGACACUAUGUGUUGUUGGGUAGGGGAGCGUUCUGUAAGCCGUUGAAGGUGGCCUGUGAGGGCUGCUGGAGGUAUCAGAAGUGCGAAUGCUGACAUAAGUAACGAUAAAGCGGGUGAAAAGCCCGCUCGCCGGAAGACCAAGGGUUCCUGUCCAACGUUAAUCGGGGCAGGGUGAGUCGACCCCUAAGGCGAGGCCGAAAGGCGUAGUCGAUGGGAAACAGGUUAAUAUUCCUGUACUUGGUGUUACUGCGAAGGGGGGACGGAGAAGGCUAUGUUAGCCGGGCGACGGUUGUCCCGGUUUAAGCAUGUAGGCGGAGGUUCCAGGUAAAUCCGGUACCUUUUUAACGCUGAGGUGUGAUGACGAGGCACUACGGUGCUGAAGUAACAAAUGCCCUGCUUCCAGGAAAAGCCUCUAAGCAUCAGGUAACAUCAAAUCGUACCCCAAACCGACACAGGUGGUCAGGUAGAGAAUACCAAGGCGCUUGAGAGAACUCGGGUGAAGGAACUAGGCAAAAUGGUGCCGUAACUUCGGGAGAAGGCACGCUGAUAUGUAGGUGAAGCCCCUGCGGGUGGAGCUGAAAUCAGUCGAAGAUACCAGCUGGCUGCAACUGUUUAUUAAAAACACAGCACUGUGCAAACACGAAAGUGGACGUAUACGGUGUGACGCCUGCCCGGUGCCGGAAGGUUAAUUGAUGGGGUUAGCGGCAACGCGAAGCUCUUGAUCGAAGCCCCGGUAAACGGCGGCCGUAACUAUAACGGUCCUAAGGUAGCGAAAUUCCUUGUCGGGUAAGUUCCGACCUGCACGAAUGGCGUAAUGAUGGCCAGGCUGUCUCCACCCGAGACUCAGUGAAAUUGAACUCGCUGUGAAGAUGCAGUGUACCCGCGGCAAGACGGAAAGACCCCGUGAACCUUUACUAUAGCUUGACACUGAACACUGGUCCUUGAUGUGUAGGAUAGGUGGGAGGCUUUGAAGUGUGGACGCCAGUCUGCAUGGAGCCGUCCUUGAAAUACCACCCUUUAAUGGCUGGUGUUCUAACGUAGACCCGUAAUCCGGGUUGCGGACAGUGUCUGGUGGGUAGUUUGACUGGGGCGGUCUCCUCCCAAAGAGUAACGGAGGAGCACGAAGGUUAGCUAAUCCUGGUCGGACAUCAGGAGGUUAGUGCAAUGGCAUAAGCUAGCUUGACUGCGAGAGUGACGGCUCGAGCAGGUGCGAAAGCAGGUCAUAGUGAUCCGGUGGUUCUGAAUGGAAGGGCCAUCGCUCAACGGAUAAAAGGUACUCCGGGGAUAACAGGCUGAUACCGCCCAAGAGUUCAUAUCGACGGCGGUGUUUGGCACCUCGAUGUCGGCUCAUCACAUCCUGGGGCUGAAGUAGGUCCCAAGGGUAUGGCUGUUCGCCAUUUAAAGUGGUACGCGAGCUGGGUUUAGAACGUCGUGAGACAGUUCGGUCCCUAUCUGCCGUGGGCGCUGGAGAAUUGAGGGGGGCUGCUCCUAGUACGAGAGGACCGGAGUGGACGCAUCACUGGUGUUCGGGUUGUCAUGCCAAUGGCACUGCCCGGUAGCUAAAUGCGGAAGAGAUAAGUGCUGAAAGCAUCUAAGCACGAAACUUGCCCCGAGAUGAGUUCUCCCUGAGCCUUUAAGGCUCCUGAAGGAACGUUGAAGACGACGACGUUGAUAGGUCGGGUGUGUAAGCGCAGCGAUGCGUUGAGCUAACCGAUACUAAUGAACCGUGAGGCUUAACCUUACAACGCCGAAG
rnacentral:rRNA from 1 species